rnacentral:rRNA from 1 species
UACGGGGGGGAGCAAGCGUUGUUCGGAUUUACUGGGCGUAAAGGGCGCGUAGGCGGCCACCGCAAGUCAAUUGUGAAAUCUCCGGGCUUAACUCGGAAAGGUCAACUGAUACUAUGCGACUAGAGUGCAGAAGGGGCAACUGGAAUUCUCGGUGUAGCGGUGAAAUGCGUAGAUAUCGCUUGGAACGCCAACGGUGAAAACAGCUCGCUGGGGGUGUGCUGACGCUGAGACACGAAAGCCAGGGGAGCGAACAGG